rnacentral:rRNA from 1 species
UAGUCUCAGUUCGGAUUGGAGUCUGCAACCCGACUCCAUGAAGCUGGAUUCGCUAGUAAUCGCGCAUCAGCCACGGCGCGGUGAAUACGUUCCCGGGCCUUGUACACACCGCCCGUCAAGCCAUGGAAGCCGGGAGUGCCUGAAGUGCGUGAGCGCAAGCAGCGCCCUAAGGUAAAACCGGUGACUGGGGCUAAGUCGUAACAAGGUAGC